AGCUAGAUUGACGAGAAAGUUUAUUUUGCACAUGGUCUUUCCUGGUUUUGUCCUUGUAGCAAGAAGUACUUCUUUUAUAACAAUAUCAGCUUUGCUCUGUUGUGUGCAAUGAUGUCAUUUAGUCAUUGUAGUUGCCCAUAUCGACGAUGGUUUAUUUCAGCCUCGAGGACCUUGCUGGUACCAGAUCCAACGGGGAGGAGAUUGCUGAGGCGGCUGAUUCCUAUGGGCUAUGUGAAAUUAAUGGUUGACUUGAUUGAGGAGUUAUGAGCUUUCUCAAAUCCUUAAGAGGUCGAUCGUGGAGCCACUCGCCCGCCGCCGAGGUACGAGAUCGCCGCCACUGACAACCGAGAGGAGCCGCCGCCAGACCUCAUCGCG